GCUGAAACUACGCCUACCAUGAAGCUGGAGUUGCUAGUAAUCGCGAAUCAGCAUGUCGCGGUGAAUACGUUCCCGGGCCUUGUACACACCGCCCGUCACACCAUGAGAGCCGAUAACACCCGAAGCCUGUGAGCUAACCGUAAGGGGGCAGCAGUCGAAGGUGGGGUUGGUGAUUGGGGUGAAGUCGUAACAAGGUAUC
rnacentral:rRNA from 1 species